CAAAGAGGGCGUAUGGUGGAUGCCUUGGCUUAAAAAGGCGAUGAAAGACGCGGCGUGGCGGCGAUAUGCUUCGGGGAGGUGCCAAGCAACCUUCGAUCCGGAGAUCUCUGAAUGAGGAAACUCUCUAGAAAGAAAUUUUUAGAAUCCUGCAGCAAUGCAGGAUGCAAACCUCGGGAAGUGAAACAUCUCAGUACCGAGAGGAAAAGAAACCAAUAGGUAUUUCGUAAGUAGCGGCGAGCGAAAACGAAUCUAGCCCAAACCGCAGAUUUGCUAAAACCGCUUGAUAGUAAUAUUGAGUGGUCUUAGUAAGUCUCGGGGUCGUAAGGCAGUUAUAGUGCACUCGAUGCACACGAUGUUACAAAUUGUUAGAUAGCCGAAGCUGCUGGGAAGCAGCGCCCCAGACGGUGAAAGCCCGGUAGGCGAAAUCAAAACAACAUCUUAAUUGUCCUUGAGUAGCUCAAGACACGUAUGGCUUGAGUGAACGUGCCGGAACUAACCGGUAAGGCUAUAUACUUUUUAAGACCGAUAGUGAAUCAGUACCGUGAGGGAAAGGUGAAAAGAACCCCGUUGAGGGGAGUGAAAUAGAUCUGAAACCAUAUGUCUACAAAGAGUCGAAGAGGUUGCAAGACCUCGACGGCGUGCCUAUUGAAGAAUGAGCCUGCGAGUUUAUGUACACCGCGUAUGGCUAAGGGGUAAAACCCCGAAGCCGCAGGGAAACCGAGUGUGAAUAGCGCGUUUGUGGUGUGCAUAAGACCCGAAGCAAGGUGAGCUACCCAUGAGCAGGGUGAAGUUUGUCGAAAGACAGAUGGAGGCCCGAACCGUUGAGCCGUUCAAAACUCUCGGAUGACUUGUGGGUUGGAGUGAAAAGCUAAUCGAACCUUGUAAUAGCUGGUUCUCUCUGAAACAAAUUUUGGUUUGGCGUCGUAUUUAUUGACACGUGGGGGUAGAGCACUGGAAGGAUCGGACAGGGCGCAAGCUCACCGAUCCUAUCAAACUCCGAAUACCGCUAUUGCUACACGGCAGUUAGUACGUGGGGGCUAAGCUCCACCGUACAAAAGGAGAAGAGUCCGGAUCUCAAGUUAAGGUCCCUAAACUACGUUCAGUGUAUCGCAAGGAGGUGAGAUUUCUUAGACAAUGAGGAUGUUGGCUUAGAAGCAGCCACCAUUGAAAGAAAGCGUAACAGCUCACUCAUCGAGAGAUCUUGCGCCAAAGAUAAUCGGGGCUUAAACGUAGUACCGAAACUGAGGGCUUGGUGCGUCUUCGGACAAUCCAAGCGGUAAGAGAGCAUUCCAUUUGCAAUGAAGCAUAAGGGGCGACCCAGUGUGGAGCGUAUGGAAGAGAGAAUGCAGGCACAAGUAACCGCAAUGCGGGUGAGAUCCCCGCACGCCGAAAGAUCAAGGUUUCCUUGGCGAUGUUGAUCAGCCAAGGGUUAGUCGGGCCUAAGCCAAUGGCGAAAGCCGCAGGCGAUGGACACAGGGUUAAUAUUCCCUGACCGGCGCAUAGGUGAUGGAGUGACGCAGAACACAAGCAGCGGCGUCUUAUUGGAUUGACGUCUGGGUUCUAUAGAUAGGUAUGCAUGGAAAAUCCGGCAUGCUGCUUUUAAUAGCGACUAUCGUGAACAUGGGGUACUUGAGGCUUCGGCCAGAGAGGACUGCUGUGAAGAGUCUGCCGAGAAAAACUUCUAAACUUAACUAUGCGUACGACCGUACCGCAAACCGACACAGGUGAUCAGCUCGAGUAGAGCAAGGCGAACGAGUGAUUGUGCUCCAAGGAACUCGGCAAAAAAGCGGCCGUACCUUCGGAAUAAGGCCUGCCUCUAUUUAUUUAGAGGCCGCAGCGAAAGUAUCCCUGGCGACUGUUUACCAAAAACACAGCUCCCUGCGAACUCGUAAGAGGAUGUAUAGGGGGUGACACCUGACCAAUGCCAGAAGGUCAACUGCGAUCGGUGGUCUAGAGCAAUCUAUACUGCUGGCGUUGCAUAAGCCCUGGUGAAUGUCGGCGAUAACUAUAAUCGUCCUAAGGUAGCGAAAUUCCUUGUCUGGUAAGUUCAGACGCGCACGAAUAGUGUAACGACUGGGGAACUGUCUCGGAGCACAGCUCGGUGAAAAUACAGUACCGGUGAAGAUGCCGGUUACCUGCAGAUAGACGAAAAGACCCCAGAAGCUUUACUGUAGCUUGAUAUUGCGUAUACGAUUGUAUUGCGUAGCAUAGAUGGGAGAGGUUGAAGUCACGAUUUCGGUUGUGGCAGACUCGUCAGUGAAAUACCACUCUAUACGAUUGUAUGCGCUAACCGGCAGGCAAACCCUGUCGAGACAGUAUCUGGUAGGCAGUUUUAGUGGGGCGCUAUCCUCCCAAAAAGUAACGGAGGAGUGUAUUAAGGUCCUCUAGGCGCGAAUGGAAACCGUGCCGAUAGCGCAAUGGCAAAAGAGGGCUUGACUGCAAGGCGUAAAUGCCGAGCAGGUGCGAAAGCAGACCAUAGUGAACCGACCGUUGGCAUUAGACGCCGCGGAAGAUUAUCUGACAAAAGCUACUCUGGGGAUAACAGGCUAGUUCCGCCUAAGCGUCCAUAGCGACGGCGGAGUUCGGCACCUCGAUGUCGGCUCAUCAUAUCCCGGGGGUGGAGAAGCUCCCAAGGGUUUGGCUGUUCGCCAAUUAAAAUGAUACGCGAGCUGGGUUCAGACCGUUUGAAACGGAAGGGAAUAGGUUACAGGUUGUAGGUUAUAGUUUCGUACUAUUCCCUAUCACCUAAUCCCUAUAACCUUGUUUUUCGGACAGUCUGAAUCCCACGAGAAUCUGUUUGAAAUUUUUCGUUUAAAAAACGUGUCGAAAGACACAUAUAGAAUUAGACCCCGACGUAAAAAGUCGGGGAGCCGACCAAAGCGUCGGCUUAGAGAACCAACCAAUCACGGCGGUCAUGAAGAGUAAUCUUUGUGAAGCAAGUUGACUUAAAUCGGGAAAAUCCGCAGUACAGACUCCGGACAAUUCCGAGAUCCAGAUUUGGAUUGUAGAGACUCUACGUCAGCCUUCCGAAAUUCGGAAGAAGAUCGAGUCCAUUCCCAUUAGUAAUGAUGGAAGAGAAGCGUGAGACAGGUUGGUCUCCUAUCUACUGCAGGCGUCGAUUAUUGAAGAGAUUUGCUCCUAGUACGAGAGGACCGGAGUGAACUGACCGCUGGUCUACCAGCUCUACCGCCAGGUGGAACGCUGGGUAGCUAAGUCGGGAUUGGAUAAGCGCUGAAAGCAUCUAAGCGCGAAGCCGACUCUAAGAUGAGUAAUCAUUAAGAUCCGUUAUAGAUGAUGACGUUGAUAGGCUCUACGUGUACGCACAGCAAUGUGUUAAGCGGAGGAGUACUAAUAGAUCAAGGUC
rnacentral:rRNA from 1 species